UACGGGGGAGCAAGCGUUGUUCGGAUUUACUGGGCGUAAAGGGCGCGUAGGCGGCCAGCACAAGUCAGUUGUGAAAUCUCCGAGCUUAACUCGGAAAGGUCAACUGAUACUGUGCGGCUAGAGUGCGGAAGGGGCAACUGGAAUUCUUGGUGUAGCGGUGAAAUGCGUAGAUAUCAAGAGGAACACCUGCGGCGAAGGCGGGUUGCUGGGCCGACACUGACGCUGAUGCGCGAAAGCCAGGGAGCGAACGGG
rnacentral:rRNA from 1 species